CAAAAACAUAACCUUUAGCCAAACAAAUAUUAAAGGCAACGCCUGCCCAGUGAACAAUUAAACGGCCGCGGUACCCUAACCGUGCAAAGGUAGCGUAAUCAUUUGUCUAUUAAUUGUAGACCAGUAUGAAAGGCAUAAUGAGGGUCUAUCUGUCUCUUAUAAUAAAUCAAUUAAACUGAUCUUCUAGUAAAAAAGCUAGAAUUUACACACAAGACCAGAAGACCCUGUGAAGCUUAAACCAAACUAUUAAACCCUAUAAUACCUACUUUCGGUUGGGGCGACCUUGGAAAAAAAAAGAACUUCCAACAUAUGACUAUAACUCACAUAUCGGCCUACAAGCCUAUACCAGACCCAGUACAACUGAUAACUGAACCAAGUUACUCCAGGGAUAACAGCGCUAUCUUCUUCAAGAGCCCAUAUCAAAAAGAAGGUUUACGACCUCGAUGUUGGAUCAGGACAUCCUAAUGGUGCAACCGCUAUUAAGGGUUCGUUUGUUCAACGAUUAAUAGUCCUACGUGAUCUGA
rnacentral:rRNA from 1 species